GACGAACGCUGGCGGCGUGCCUAAUACAUGCAAGUAGAACGCUGAAGGAGGAGCUUGCUUCUCUGGAUGAGUUGCGAACGGGUGAGUAACGCGUAGGUAACCUGCCUGGUAGCGGGGGAUAACUAUUGGAAACGAUAGCUAAUACCGCAUAAGAGUAGAUGUUGCAUGACAUUUGCUUAAAAGGUGCAAUUGCAUCACUACCAGAUGGACCUGCGUUGUAUUAGCUAGUUGGUGGGGUAACGGCUCACCAAGGCGACGAUACAUAGCCGACCUGAGAGGGUGAUAGGCCACACUGGGACUGAGACAAGGCCCAGACUCCUACGGGAGGCAGCAGUAGGGAAUCUUCGGCAAUGGACGGAAGGCUGACCGAGCAACGCCGCGUGAGUGAAGAAGGGUUUCGGAUCGUAAAGCUCUGUUGUAAGAGAAGAACGAGUGUGAGAGUGGAAAGUUCACACUGUGACGGUAUCUUACCAGAAAGGGACGGCUAACUACGUG
rnacentral:rRNA from 1 species